GGGUCCGUAGCUCAGCUGGUAGAGCAGUGGCCUUUUAAGCCAUUUGUCGUGGGUUCGAGCCCCACCGGACCCACCA
rnacentral:tRNA from 1 species